UACAUGGGGUGCAAACGUUGCUCUGAAUUAUUGGGCGUAAAGCGCACGUAGGCGGUUUGUUAAGUCGGAUGUGAAAUCCCUCGGCUCAACUGAGGAAGUGCAUCCGAAACUGGCAAGCUUGAGUACGAAAGAGGGUCGCGGAAUUCCCGGUGUAGAGGUGAAAUUCGUAGAUAUCGGGAGGAACACCGGUGGCGAAGGCGGCGACCUGGGGCGAUACUGACGCUGAGGUGCGAAAGCGUGGGGAGCAAACAGG
rnacentral:rRNA from 1 species